CGCCAAGAAGCUAAACUGGAACAAAGCGCCAGCCUUUUAAGCUGGAAAAUGGUGCCUUCCAACCACCCUUAGCGA
rnacentral:tRNA from 1 species